CAACAUCACUCAACUCUGUCACACAUGUUCAGACUCUGUCCACUGUUGUGGUCCUACUGAAGCUGUGAUCCAAUUGGUCCUCUCUGCUCUGGUGGGCGUGGCUACUGUCAUUCUUCUGGUUUAUGACAUCAGAUCCAGAAGAGCUGAACAACAUCAAGCACAUAUUCACACAUCAGAAACCUAAUGGUGUCAUUUCUCAUACUAUUUUUUGUCAUUUAUUAAUCUUCAUUUAUUUGUAAUGGCUUUAUAUGCUGGUGUUUACUGUAUGAUUAUUUUAGCUGGCUUAUUUACACCCUAGAACAAAAUUUGAGAACAAACAGAGACAGAUUUUUACUCAUUAACUCAUUAGUGUUCAAAGUAUCAAAGUGUGAGUGUUUGUCAUUGUAAAUACUGAAUUUGUUUUAACAAUCUAGUCAUUUAUAUUUAAUUGGGAACCUAAAAAAAAUUCUUCCAAUCACACUUAAAGUCUCACAUGUCUUGUAGUUUUAUUAUUGUUCAGAUCAGAGGUCUCUAAUACUGAAGCUCUUUUACUGACUAAACAUGACACAUUUCUCUCAGAUUAAACACACAGAUCUUUAUCACUGCUGUUCAUUUGUCAUUUGCAUUUGCUUGCCUUUAUCAAUAAAGUUUUUUUUACUCUGA